rnacentral:rRNA from 1 species
GCAUGGCUGUCGUCAGCUCGUGCGUGAGAUGUUGGGUUAAGUCCGCAACGAGCGCAACCCUUGUCCUUAGUUACCAGCACGGUUAUGGUGGGCACUCUAAGGAGACUGCCGGUGCAAACCGGAGGAAGGUGGGGAUGACGUCAAGUCAUCAUGGCCCUUACGGCCUGGGCUACACACGUGCUACAAUGGUCGGUACAAAGGGUUGCCAAGCCGCGAGGUGGAGCUAAUCCCAUAAAACCGAUCGUAGUCCGGAUCGCAGUCUGCAACUCGACUGCGUGAAGCCGGAAUCGCUAGUAAUCGUGAAUCAGAAUGUCACGGUGAAUACGUUCCCGGGCCUU